GAUGAACGCUGGCGGCGUGCCUAAUACAUGCAAGUCGAGCGAACGGACGAGAAGCUUGCUUUUCUGAUGUUAGCGGCGGACGGGUGAGUAACACGUGGAUAACCUACCUAUAAGACUGGGAUAACUUCGGGAAACCGGAGCUAAUACCGGAUAAUAUUUUGAACCGCAUGGUUCAAAAGUGAAAGACGGUCUUGCUGUCACUUAUAGAUGAAUCCGCGCUGCAUUAGCUAGUUGGUAAGGUAACGGCUUACCAAGGCAACGAUGCAUAGCCGACCUGAGAGGGUGAUCGGCCACACUGGAACUGAGACACGGUCCAGACUCCUACGGGAGGCAGCAGUAGGGAAUCUUCCGCAAUGGGCGAAAGCCUGACGGAGCAACGCCGCGUGAGUGAUGAAGGUCUUCGGAUCGUAAAACUCUGUUAUUAGGGAAGAACAUAUGUGUAAGUAACUGUGCACAUAUUGACGGUACCUAAUCAGAAAGCCACGGCUAACUACGUG
rnacentral:rRNA from 1 species